rnacentral:rRNA from 1 species
GACGAACGCUGGCGGCGUGCCUAAUACAUGCAAGUCGAACGCAGUUGCGCACGGGUGAGUAACGCGUCUGUAACUGCCUCCUUGCGGGGGAAAACUAUUGGGAACGAUAGCUAAAACCCCAUACUGUGAGAUGGACCUGCGUUUGAUUCGUUAGUUGGUGGGGUAAAUGCUCACCAAGGCGACGAUCCAUAGCCGGCCUGAGAGGGUGAUCGGCCACACUGGGACUGAGACACGGCCCAGACUCCUACGGGAGGCAGCAGUAGGGAAUCUUCGGCAAUUGACGGAAGUCUGACCGAGCAACGCCGCGUGAGUGAAGAAGGUUUUCGGAUCGUAAAGCUCUGUUGAUAGGGAAGCGGUACCUAACCAGAAAGCGACGGCUAACUACGUGCCAGCAGCCGCGGUAAUAC